rnacentral:miRNA from 1 species
AUUGCCUGGGGAUUUUGGUUAAAUGUGGGUCCUGAUUCAGUGGGCCUAGGGCACUUGGAGAUUCUGCAUUUCUAACCAGUUCUCAG